UACAGAGAUCAAGUCAAUGUCUUCCUGUCCGUACAGAGAUCAAGUCAAUGUCUUCCUGUCCGUACAGAGAUCAAGUCAAUGUCUUCCUGUCAGUACAGAGAUCAAGUCAAUGUCAAAAGUGCCCAAGCUCCUUCGGAGAAACAACGCAGAGAUGGAGAGGACGUCCCACGUGAGAAACAACGCAGAGAUGGANNNNNNNNNNCCAGGGGGUGUACUGAGGAGAUAGACCAGCGUCCUGUCCAGGGGGUGCACUGAGGAGAUAGACUAGUGUCUUUUCCAGAGGGUGUACUGAGGAGAUAGACAAGUGUCCUGUCCAGAAGGUGUACUGAGGAGAUAGACUAGUGUCCUGUCCAGGGGGUGUACUGAGGAGAUAGACCAGCGUCCUGUCCAGGGGGUACACUGAGGAGAUAGACUAGUGUCCUGUCCAGGGGGUGUACUGGUACAUCAAGCUGCAUUGUGCUACAGAAAUAGGUGAUAGGCUCCUACACUAUGUUCUGUAUUUACUAACCACAUAAUCUGGUGCAGUUGAUGACGUGGCACGCAACCAUUGGCUGAUCCAUGCAACAUCUGAGCAGGGCAACAUCACCUUUGUGCUCAGUAAAUAAAUAAUAACAGUAUGUUGCCUGCACUUUCAUUUUGAGAUGUAUCUGCAGUCCCACAGCGAGAAAUGUUCCCACAAACGGUUCUACCGCAGCGCUCUCUUACCCAAGCGGUCCCAACAACACCUUAGCGGCAUACACAUUGACUGGGAAACAGCUGUUCGCUAAUUGGCAGGGAAACACAAGGCUACUGUUCACUAAUACACAGAAGGCUAUGUCUGUUUAUAUCUAGUUUCUAAAAUGUAUUUUUGUUUUUAAGUAAAUGCCAGGUAACUUAUAUGAAGGCUAUAUCUAGAUACAGUGGGUGAAAAAAGUAUUUGAUCCCCUGCUGAUUUUGUACGAUUGCCCAUUGACAAAGAAAUGAUCCGUCUAUAAUUUUAACGGUAGGUCUAUUUGAACAGAGAGAUACAGAACAACAACAAAAAAAUCCUGAAAAACUCAUGUCAAAAAUGUUAUAAAUUGAUUUGCAUUUUAAUGAGGGAAAUAAGUAUUUGACCCCUCUGU
rnacentral:lncRNA from 13 species